rnacentral:lncRNA from 1 species
GUGUGGUAUGUGCAAGGGAGGAGCCAAGAUGGCCGAAUAGGAACAGCUCCGGUCUACAGCUCCCAGCGUGAGCGACGCAGAAGACGGGUGAUUUCUGCAUUUCCAUCUGAGGUACCGGGUUCAUCUCACUAGGGAGUGCCAGACAGUGGGCGCAGGCCAGUGUGUGCGUGCACCGUGCGCGAGCCGAAGCAGGGCAAGGCAUUGCCUCACCUGGGAAGCGCAAGGGGUCAGGGAGUUCCCUUUCCGAGUCAAAGAAAGGGGUGACAGACGCACCUGGAAAAUCGGGUCACUCCCACCCGAAUAUUGCGCUUUUCAGACCGGCUUAAAAAACGGCGCACCACGAGACUAUAUCCCACACCUGGCUCAGAGGGUCCUACGCCCACGGAAUCUCACUGAUUGCUAGCACAGCAGUCUGAGAUCAAACUGCAAGGCGGCAACGAGGCUGGGGGAGGGGCGCCCACCAUUGCCCAGGCUUGCUUAGGUAAACAAAGCAGCUGGGAAGCUCGAACUGGGUGGAGCCCACCACAG